UGACGAGGAUGAGAACCUCCGGGGGCAAGAGGUUCGACUCGAGCGCAGCGAGAGAACGUUGCGUCAGCAACGGCCCGCAGGGCGAGCCACGCAGUGGCGAGUCAUCCUCUAUCACCGACCA
rnacentral:sRNA from 4 species